UCUAUGGUCCCAACUCCCAAAGUUGCCUUAUCCCGGUCUUCCUCUGCUAUCAGUUCUCUCUCAUAUCUCUCACCGCAUCUCAGUUUCUUAUUUUCCGUUUCAAUUUCAGUCUCUCAUCGCCUUCUCCCAUCUUCCUUAUACUCAGAUUUACAUUGAAACCCUAAGUUUGUAUAUCAUUACUAUCUCAAAAUCAUUAUUUUCUCCAUGAAACUCCAUGAAAACUCUGCACCUGUUUACAUCGAUGGAAGAUUUAAAUCCAUCAACUCCACUGAAAUAUGAAAAUACUGUUGGUAAUGAAAGAGAGGGAUCGAGUGGUUUUAGAUCAGAUUUCUAUUACCGUGUAGAUCUAAAUCACGGGUUUUAAUAGAUAAGUUGUUAUAUCUUUUGGAUAUGAUGAUUAAGCUACUGAACAUGAUAAUGAAGGAGAAGAAAUCAGUAGUCUUAGAGAACAAAAUCUAAGAGGUAGUUAAAAGUAAUUUGGAUGAAAACAGCUUCAACAACAUCAUUGGAGUCAAAUUCUAAGGGCUUAUGUCUGAAGAGUUGAGAAAAACUUUUUGGAGUUAAAUUUACCCAAAAUAAAGGAGGAAAGAACCUUAAUUUAGUCUUGGAGUUGCUGAGCCAAAAAUUCAGUCAGAUAUCUUUGAAGAAAAAUUCCUUGCGACUGCAAUGAAUUUGUUCUUAAACUUCUCUGCGAUGUCCGCCUUCAUUCGGAAAGCUCAUCCUCUUGGAUAAGGCUUGGCUUGGGUCUCAGAAAGGAAGUUUCAAGUUUAAAACUCUUUCAUGAUGUUCCCAUUUUGUACUCACAAUGUCAGUGUUUGAUCUCUUUUAACACUAUCAUUGCAGGCAUUAGGAAAGUAUGAAGAUGCUCAUGCACUAAUAUUGGCAUUGAUUGAUCUUUGUUAAGAAGAAAUUGAUCGUAAAUACGUUACAAUUCAAUAUUUCAGUUCCAACUUCAUAUGCAUAUAUGAAAAGAUUCUUAAAAGCGGCUCGGUUUGAUAAGAAGAUUGAGCUUCUCUCCUUUUCUUUGAUCGAGCUUUCGUUGGUUGAGUAUGACAUGCCUAGAUUCCCGCCAUGUCUAUUAGCUGAUGUAGCCAUCCUUUAUAUGCUAUUAUUUGCCAAUGUAGAUCCUUGAAAAAGUUAAACUUGCAUAUGACAUCCAUUAACACCGCUUUCCUUUACUGCAUGGAUGGGAUUUCUUAAGAGACCACUUGUUAUUGCUUCUCCUUUCAUGACUGCCAUUAGCAUUGUUUUUAGAAAGAAUUCCAUGGUAUUCAUCAAUAGAUUGCUUGUUUUCUCGUUACUUUUGAUCAUCUCAUUUGUAUUGACUUGGUUGUGCUUAUGUCCUGGUGUAGGCAUGACUCAAGAAUGUGGUGUAUCUAAAACAUGGAAUACUGGACUCUUCCAUGAGGUGGGAUACAUUAUUUCAGGUCAGAGACGAAGAAGGGGAAGAAAAGAUAGCACCAGGGAAGAUGAAAGUCCAGUUUCAUGCAGGUGCAUCCUGGAACAAAUAUACCAACAAUCUAUCGACAUUGCAAUUGAGAACACAAGGUCCUAAAAACUUUAGGAAGUUAUUAUGAAUUUGUUUUCUUGUGUAUAAACAAUUGAAGUGGGUGCAUCUUCAAGUUUUCAUAUAUUGUGAACCUAUUGUGAACUUGGGUAGUUAGAUAUUGAAGUGUAAAUUGAAUCAAACUUGGGUAGUAAUAUUUAAUUUGUUUCCAUAUUAA